CAAGGACAGAGACUCAGCCAGGACUCCAGGAGAGGCUUCCCACUGGGAUCUCAUCUCCCCUCGGGACCUUUUCUGCCUUGUGUACUGUCAGGGACACACACAAACACAAAACACGGACACACCAAGACACAAACACCUAAACACACCCACAUAGACACUUACAAACGUAUAAACACAGCUAUACUCACACAGACAUACACAUAGCUAAUCACUCAGACACCCGUACACUCAAACAUAAAUAUGCACACACACUUACACAAUAUACACUCACACAUACAACACACAAAUUCACACCAUAUUCACUUAACCACACAUACCGCAUUCACACUUUCACGGCUAGACAGCAAAUGAGCCCACUUCGUACCGGGGAAAUAGCGGGUGACCGAACAUCUUGCCUCCUUCCCACUGGUCCACAGUUCCCCUCUCCUGCCUCACCUAGGCCUCCAGCCAUCCACGGCCUGGAGCCCCAGGCCCUCUCUCACCUCUUGUCCCGCUAGCUGCCCCUUCCUCAGCUCAGACUCACAUACCCCAGGAUGCUCCACCCCAGGGAUUUUGCACCUGCUCUUCCUUCUGCUGGGAGCGCCUUUCUUCAUCCCAUGUGCUCACUCAUCACUCUCGCUUCAGUCUCUGCUGAAACAGCACCUUGUCAGGGCAGCUGCCCCGACUCCCUAACAGAAACAGCACGCUCCAGCCCUCCAUCUCUCUGUCGCCUUGCCCUGCUUUAUUUUCAGUGUAGAGUUUAUCACGCUCAGACCCUAUAAUGUGUGUGUGCAUAAUGGGCUUCUCCAUGUUCACCUCCUCCUUCAGUGUAAGCUCCAUGAGGAGAGUUUGUUCAUUUUCCCUAGUACCUAGGAUGAUGUUUGACUCUUUAAGAAGCACUCGAGAAAUAAUUGACAAAUUAAGGAAUAAAUAAACGAUGAACACCUGGAGCUGCUGACAAGGGCGCGCCUUCCUUGCCUUCCUAGCGGAGCCGCCUUCUCUCUGCAGCUCGGCCUCUGUGGCCCCGACACGGGCUGGUUCUCACCCCACGACUCUGAAUCCCCACCCACUUCUCCCCCAGCACAAACCUCCCUCUAGACGAGAUUCCUCUGGCAUGGCUUCCUACCUGCGUCUGUCUCUGCUCCGGGGUGUCCUGGCUUUUGAACACACUUCCUCCAACACACUUCUCACCUUUUCCCUCCAACACUUGCUCAGCCUCACCAACUCCUCCAGAUCCUAAAUUCUAGACAGUUCCAAAAGGUGAUGAAUUGAAAGUAAUCCCAAUAUUCCAGCAGUAACCUCACCACCACCCACCCAGCCAGCACCCAAGAACAUAUUCCUCUCCAGAAGGAGAGGCCCCUACGUGAAGGAAAACACCACAGAGCUGUACAGGGUGAUGAAAAGUCACACUUGCAUCAAUGAAGAGGCAGUGUUCCCUGGGGGAAAGAGGAAAUACUGUAAAUGUGUCCUUUCUUACCAAAUAAAUCCAGAGGCUUGCCUUAUAAAAACAAGCGAGUACCAGCAAAAAUGAAACUGAAAUGAACUGUUCAGUAAAGGAAAUGAACAAGCGAUUCCCGGGAGAAUAAAUGCAGAUGGCUGAUAAACAUCUAAGAUGUUCAACUUAAUGGAAUAAGGAAACUACAAAUUAAAAAUACAUGAUAUACAGUAUAUCAUUCUCACUCAUAAGAUUUGGGAAGUGCCUCCUCCCACAGAAUGCAGAGUAGUGAUGCUUCGAGGCUUCUGAUGCUAGACCAUAAAAGACAAUAUGAUUUCCUCCUGGCUCCCUGUCUCCACUCUCCUGUGAACUUGGCAGCCAUGAUGUGAGGAAGCCCAAGCCACAUGGAGAGGCCACACGGAGGUGUUCCAGCCGACAGCCCCAGCAAGGGUCCCAGCCAACUGUCAAAUGUGCAAGUGAACAAGCCUUCAGAUGAUCUGCCUUCUGGCCUCUGAGUCUUGGAGCUGGGGCCACAGACGUCUUCGAGCAGAGACUAGCCAUCCCCUCUGAAUUCAACCAUCUGCCCUGCCUGAAUUCCUGACCCCCAGAAACUACCUAAGUAAAACAUCCAUCUUUUACUAGGUUUGGGGGCACUUUGUUACACAGCCAUAGUAGUUCAACAGACUUGCUUUUCCCUUUACUGUUUAAAGAUGUUCC
ensembl:lncRNA